CGGUCCUCUGCUGGGGGCGGGAGGAAGAGGGGCAGGACUGGGGCCUGACGAGCCGUCGCUGCCGCCGCCGUCUUCGCGGCUGCUAUGACCAGCGGGCGAGGCGCCCUCCGCAGCUCUGCGCAGCGCUAGUCGCGGCCGUGCGCCAGCCGUAGCCGUCCGGGUCCCCAGCGCAGCCGCUCCCGCGGCUCCCUCGGCUCUUCCAGCGCCGCCUGCGAGACGAGGCGGAGGCAGGAUGAAGAUGACGGUGGAUUUCGAGGAGUGUCUGAAGGACUCGCCCCGCUUCAGGGCUGCUUUGGAAGAAGUAGAAGGAGAUGUGGCAGAAUUGGAACUGAAACUUGAUAAGCUUGUGAAGCUAUGUAUUGCAAUGAUUGAUACUGGAAAAGCCUUUUGUGUUGCAAAUAAACAGUUCAUGAAUGGGAUUCGAGACCUGGCACAGUAUUCUAGCAAUGAUGCUGUAGUUGAGACAAGUUUGACCAAAUUUUCUGACAGUCUUCAAGAAAUGAUAAAUUUUCACACAAUCCUAUUUGACCAAACUCAGAGAUCGAUUAAGGCACAGCUUCAGAACUUUGUCAAAGAAGAUCUUAGAAAAUUCAAAGAUGCCAAGAAGCAGUUUGAAAAAGUCAGUGAAGAAAAAGAAAAUGCAUUAGUAAAAAAUGCUCAAGUACAAAGAAACAAACAGCAUGAAGUUGAAGAAGCCACAAACAUUCUGACAGCAACAAGAAAAUGUUUUCGACACAUAGCCCUAGAUUACGUACUUCAGAUUAAUGUCCUUCAAUCAAAACGGAGAUCAGAAAUCCUGAAAUCAAUGUUAUCCUUUAUGUAUGCCCAUUUGGCCUUCUUUCAUCAAGGAUAUGAUCUAUUUAGUGAACUUGGGCCCUACAUGAAGGAUCUUGGUGCACAGUUGGAUCGACUGGUUGUAGAUGCAGCAAAGGAGAAAAGAGAAAUGGAGCAAAAACAUUCCACCAUUCAACAAAAGGAUUUCUCCAGUGAUGAUUCUAAGCUAGAAUAUAAUGUAGAUGCUGCAAAUGGCAUUGUUAUGGAAGGUUAUCUGUUCAAACGAGCCAGCAAUGCCUUCAAAACUUGGAACAGACGCUGGUUUUCAAUACAGAAUAAUCAGUUGGUUUACCAGAAAAAGUUUAAGGAUAAUCCCACUGUGGUGGUGGAAGAUCUAAGGCUCUGCACAGUGAAACAUUGUGAGGACAUAGAACGACGAUUCUGCUUUGAGGUGGUCUCUCCAACAAAAAGUUGUAUGCUUCAGGCAGAUUCUGAAAAGCUGCGCCAGGCAUGGAUUAAGGCUGUUCAGACCAGUAUUGCUACUGCUUAUAGAGAGAAGGGUGAUGAAUCGGAGAAGCUGGAUAAGAAAUCAUCUCCAUCCACAGGAAGCCUGGAUUCUGGAAAUGAGUCAAAAGAUAAAUUAUUGAAAGGAGAAAGUGCAUUGCAGCGAGUCCAGUGUAUUCCUGGCAAUGCCAGCUGUUGUGACUGUGGUCUGGCAGACCCACGGUGGGCCAGCAUCAACCUGGGCAUCACCCUGUGUAUCGAGUGUUCUGGGAUUCACCGGAGUCUUGGAGUUCAUUUUUCAAAAGUACGAUCUUUAACUUUAGACACCUGGGAGCCUGAACUUUUAAAGCUUAUGUGUGAGUUGGGGAAUGAUGUUAUGAAUAGAGUUUAUGAAGCUGAUGUGGAAAAAAUGGGAAUAAAGAAACCGCAACCAGGACAAAGACAGGAGAAAGAGGCGUAUAUCAGAGCAAAAUAUGUGGAGAGAAAAUUUGUGGAUAAAUAUGCUAUAUCAUCAUCACCUCCGGAGCAGGAAAAAAAGAUUGCCUCCAAAAGUUGUGAAGAAAAGAGGCUGAGCAUUUCUAAACUUGGGACAAGUGAACAAGUUAGAGCAUCUCCCCAAAGUUCAGUCAAAAGUAAUGACAGUGGAAUCCAGCAGAGCUCUGAUGAUGGAAGAGAAUCUUUACCUUCCACAGUGUCAGCCAAUAGUUUAUAUGAGCCGGAGGCAGAAAGGCAGGAUUCUUCUGUGUUUCUCGACUCUAAACAUCUUAAUCCAGGACUCCAGCUUUAUAGGGCUUCGUAUGAAAAAAAUCUUCCUAAAAUGGCUGAAGCUUUGGCUCGUGGCGCAGAUGUGAACUGGGCUAAUUCUGAGGAAAACAAAGCAACACCACUUAUUCAGGCUGUAUUAGGGGGCUCUUUGGUGACAUGUGAGUUUCUCCUUCAGAAUGGUGCGAAUGUGAACCAGAGAGAUGUGCAAGGGCGGGGACCACUGCACCAUGCCACUGUCUUAGGGCACACGGGGCAGGUAUGUUUAUUCCUAAAACGAGGUGCCAAUCAACAUGCCACUGAUGAAGAAGGGAAGGACCCUUUGAGUAUAGCUGUGGAAGCAGCCAAUGCUGAUAUAGUGACCUUGUUACGUUUAGCAAGAAUGAAUGAAGAGAUGCGGGAAUCAGAAGGACUUUAUGGACAGCCAGGUCAAUAUUCUACUAAUAACCAUACCGAAAUGCAGUAUAAGAAAUGCAUCCAGGAAUUUAUCAGUUUACAAUUGGAAGAUUCAUAGUUCUUUAGCAAACUAACUUAAUGCUACAGAGUUUUAAUAAAUUACUUGUAAAUUGUGAGUUGUUAGGUAUAUACUGUACUUACUGAAUUCUUGGGAGUGGCUCACUCUCGAGCCUUUAAAAAUCCGUAACUAUUCCUAUUACAGAACACAUUUACUUGCUGUAUUUAACUCUGGCUGCUGGCUUCUUUAUCUGCUGUACAGAUGUCUUCCAUAUACAUUCCAGAGAGGCGAAUGGAAUGAUAACGUAUCUUUAUACACUUACAGCAGCACAGCAGUCAUUUUCUUUUUGGCUGUCAAGUGAAUAUAACAAAAUUGUUUUCUUUUUGUUAUUCAGGGAAUUUCUGUAAAUUGUGUUCAGGGAAAAAACAAAUCACUAUGUGUUGACAUAUAAAAGUCAGUAUGGAAAAUGCCUAGAAGAAGUUUAUUGAAUUAAGAGUUCCGUAUUUGAUCUAAAAAUGAGUUGAAGGUUUAAGAAUAAAAUUUACCAGUAGGUUAAGAAGUCCAUAAUGCGAAUGGAGUUAGUUUAAAAGGUAUAGGGAAAAGGUCAAAUUUUAUCUUGUACCUUUGCCCCAAGUAAUUGUACAAUAUCUGUUGGAUAAAUGGAAGUAUUUAGAAGAACAUUUCAUGAGCUUGAUGGCAAAGUAGACGUAUUCUUAUUAGAGAGAACUCAGGAUCAGCUCAAGUCUCAUUUUGAGUAAUUUUUGAGUCGAGAUGUCAAGAAAAGCAAGAAAUGUUGCUGAUCAGAUUUCUUUCUUUGAUGAACAUAUACUGAUUAGACAUUCUUCACAAAGAAGAGAGUAAUAAUUAGAUCUCCAGUUUCAUGAAUUUGAGUAUAUGAAUUACUAAUUUAUCUGUUUUAAAUUCAUAUACAUGCUGGUUAAAAAUUUCAGGAAUUCAUGACUAAAAUAAUUGAGAAUGUUCAGUUUUAAGUGAGUAUGUUUGAUUUUUUUUCAAUGACUAUUAAUGUAUUAUUUUAAAAGUGGCUUGUGAUAUCAUCUAUCUUUCCUGUUUAAGUAUGUUCUGAAAUUUCUGCACUUUAUGCUAGCUUCAGCCAUUUACUUUUAUUUUAGCCAGAUUAAUAUAUAACUAAGAUAAAUAUAGGGCCAUUCCUUUCUCAGAGGACUGUAUUUAUUACUUAUUUUUGGUCUAAUUUAAUAGGGAACAAAUAAGAACUUUGAGAAUAGAGGCACUUCAGCUAGAUACUUCUAAUCUAGGGUGUCCCACUUUAAUCCUAUGGAUCAAACAAUACUACUGACUCAUGAUGUACCAAGUUGUAAGAGUGCUGAUUAAGGGUGAAGUCUCAGCGUUAAUUCUGAAUUUCACCCAUUUGUUUUAAACUUGAAUGUUAGACUUUAAAUACAUUAUAAUUUUGUAACAGAUAUACACUUAAGUGAUAGUAUUACUAGGCCAUUUUUGAGGCCUUUAUGUUUAAGCACUUUAAAAUGAAAAUUAUUCAAAGACUAUGACCUGAUUCGUGAGAUAAGAGUGAACUUCAAGAUUUUAAGUUAAACAGUUUUUUUUUUUUCCUGACAUUUUAAGUGUAAAUGUUUGGUCAGCUGCUCUUUCCUUAGGUGUUUGCUGAUGAAGCUGCACCCAGCCGAUUAGUCAGAAGGUCGGUGGGUGACUUUUCUCUGGAGCUGGGAAGCUUGAAAGGACAGGUCCUCUUAUGUUCUUGCAGCUUCUAGUUCCACCUAAACUGCUCGGGCUUCGGCCCCCAUCUAGGAGCAUUCAAAUGUCUCUUUCACUGUCGUUUUAUGUAUAAGUUUAUGAGUAUAUACCUUCUGCUCAACAGUAGAAAAACAGAUUUUUCCAAUUUAUUUGAAUGAAAAUUUGAAGAAAAGCCUUAUUUAAAAAAACAAGCUUUCCUACCACUCAAAUUUUAGCUUAGAAAAGAUUAAAAAAUAGAUCCAAAGUCUGGAAAUGGUAUAUCAGCAGAAUAAAAUGAGAUUCUGAUUUGGUAAUAAUUAGAUUUUAAAUUCAUUUGGGGGUCUCAUAGUUAAAGCAGAAAAACUUUAUACUUAUACAGGUGACAUGGUAAAAUGGCUCAGCAAUUGCUCUCUGGCUACUUUUCCUUUAUGAGUCUUUGGAGAGCAGAUAUUUUUGCUCAGGCAGCAGGUCUUUUUUCUUCUCUGCUUAUCACUGUAAAUUUCUCUCUCAUAGAUUUUGGUUGGUUGUUUUAUCUAGAUCCUUUUUUUGUUGCCUAGCAAUAGAAGGAAAACCUCAGAAUUCUGAGUAGUUUUAAAAGGCGGGUAUUUUCAAUUUUUUCAUGAUGAAGAGCCCUACCAUUAAAAGACUCAGAUAUAAUCUUUGGGAAUGAUGGACCUAUUUCUAGGAAACCCCACUUUUGAACUUUCUGUCUACAACCCUAUGGACCUGAGACCCCCUGUUUUCUGCAAGGCGACUUAAGAGCACACAUUUCCUGAAGGGAAGAUGUAUCCUUCUUUGUCAGUUCCCACACCUCGUAGGAGGACUGGGUGGGUGAGUGCAACAUCACGCCGUGCUCUCAAUUGUUGGAAACCAGUUUGGUGGUUCCCACCGUCUCUGGCUCUGUGACUCCUCUUGAUUGUUGGCAGAGUUUCUCAGCCAGUUGAAAAUCACUGCUUUAGUGAACCACUACUGGUUACCUGAGUAUGUUGCUGAUGAAGGUUGAUCAUUGAUCUAAUCAAUUACAAAAAGGAAGCUGUAAUCAGCCCGGAAGGGGCAGGAUCAUACACUGAUCACCUGGGAGUAGGGUCUCACAUGCUGCCAUAUCUUUGAGGGGAGUACAUUUUGAGAGCAAAAUUAGCAAAAUCUUGGAUCAUCACUGCUGUUGCAGUGCUUAUUCUGAAUACCAAAAAUCAAGAACUAUUUUAAACUAUCAGUGGAAAUAUAGCAGUCCACAUUUCAAAGAACUCAGAACUGUCCAGGCACAUGGAAAAGUUAACUUUCUGAAGAGAAAUAGAAUGUGAUGAAGUAAUUUAAAGAAUAUAACUUAGUAUUACAAAUAUUGGGUGGUUAGUUGUUUACUGUUUAUAAUAGACUGUUAAAUGUACUCAUAUGAACUUUCCAGGGCAACAUAUUCUGGGUUAUUGUUUAUGUAUUCUAGUGUAGACAAGUUAUAUUUGCCGUGAGAAACAUUCUAAAUGAUUAAAAUUGUAUUUAAAGAAUCACAUUGAAGUUCAAUUUGUGUUAACUAUAUUAAAUAUCUUAGUCACUAUUGUUAUUGUAACGUUUGCUUUCUGACAACACAUUUUGAGGCCUAAGAAAGGUAUUAUAUUGAUAAGUCCCUUAAUUAACAUUUGGUUAGAAACUGAAUGUUAACAAAAAGUUUUGUGUAUGUGUGUGAAGGUGAGACUUCCUUUUGUAUUGUAUUAACUCUUUUAAAAUGUAUUCAGUAAGUGAAACCAAUGAGUAGUGUAGCACCAACACUUUCCUUCAAGGAAGCAUUUAAUUCAGUGAAUAAAACAAAUCUUAUAAUUUGUUUUGCAUGGUACGAUGGUUCUACUAAAAUGUACUCGUGUAGUAGGUACUUUAAAAACAAAAACUGGGAAACGACAAAAAGAAAAAAAAAUCCCACAACCUGUUAUACAAAAUAUGCAUUGCUAAUAGUAGAAGCCAUAUAUUGCCAUUGUACUGUUGUAAUACUUAAGAUUGCUCACCUGGUGCUAUCUGUAAACUAUUUGGCAUUAGCAUCUAUUAGAUACUUCUUCCUAUUUCUUCUUGAAUGUAUAAUGUGUGCCUUUUAAGUUAUUUCUGGUGUUGAAUGGUAAAUUCAGUGUGGUAUUUUUGUAUUAUAAUCUGCACUUUACACUUUCUUGGAAAGUAAAACUCCAGACUCUCCAGUUUAAAUAGUAUUUUUAAAAUAUUUAUAAUGUUUACAAUAAAUAUUUUAAAUAUUUGAAUUCAACAUCUAAGAGUAAGAAAAAAAUUUAAAUAUUUUAUAUGGUUUGUUAAGUGAUGUUUAAUGUUUGUCUCUUCUCAGUUUAUUUUAUAUCUUUUAGAGUGGCUAAUAAUGGGAAUAGAUUGUAGUUUGUCUUUUAAUGUGGGGUAAACUUUUAUGAAAUGAAACAUGGGUGUAAUUGAAUUGUCUUACCCGUUGUUCCACCAUAUCAACCUUUAUUGUUUUAGUAACAAUAAUAUGAGUUAGAUGUUACUCUUAGCCAACCUAUUAAGAUUCUCUUCUUACUGUAUUUUUUCUUUUUAAAGUAGAUUGAUUGAUUCAGGUCAUGAGAAAAUUUCCAGGGCUAAAUGAAAAACUACAUAGAGAUUUUAAUAACUUGCUUUUUACAUUGACUAAAUAUUAAAAGCAUUAAAAUUUUUUUAAUUGAAAAUCUUGGGUUAUGCUGUUAGACCUUUUACUAGAUCUGUAUCCCCCUCCCCGAGAUUUUUUCUAAUUCUCUAGCUUUUGGUAUGGCAUCCAUUGCCUCAAAAAAAUCUCGCUUUUUAAAAGCUGACAAAACUUACUGCACUAUUAACAACAACUGUAGCAAUGAGUGUGUAAUAGAUGGAUGCGAGGUAUCUUAUGGGGAAUAAUUAUAAAACCGUGUUCCAACAAUAAUAAUCUAAAACAGUAUUUGACAGUCUAAAUCUUGAAAACAGAAUUAUGCCAACCUUCUGCAUAAAGCUAAUAUGUUUAACAGGAAGCAUUCAUGAUGAAUGAUUCAUCUUGAAAAUAAGAUUUCAUUUUAUACAAAUCUUUUGUCUGAGGAGUUAGCCUGUAUGUGUGUUAUAUAUUUAGUUUUUCAUUGCAAGAAAAAUAGUAUUCAAUCCGCUAUAAUAUCAGUAUCUAUAAUCUUCUCUACAAGCAUAUUUGUACGUAUACACAUUUGUAUUACUCUAAUUUAGCAGAUGUCUUUGAUAUUUAUUCCCCUUUUGUCAUAGCAUCCUUGCUCAUAUGACCUACAGUAAAUGAAAAACUAAAUGUGAAAUGAUUUUAAAGUCAUUUUCUAGGCUUUAUUAUUUUAUAAGCCUAGUAAAAAAUGGAUUAGGUGCAUUAGUUUUAGUUAAGAAUUAAAGUUUGAGUAAAGACUUACUUUUUCACAUGCUAUUUAAAUUAAAAUGCCUUUAAUUAAAAGAUAAUAUUAAAAUAUGAGGCCUUUUUCCCCACAUGGUUAUUAGUUUUGUCUUGCUAAUAACUUGCAUCCAACAGAAACAUUAGUGUUUGUUUUUGGUCUUUUCUUUUGGCCUUGAUCAAGGGAAAUAUUUAUUUAAAGAAUGCCUUGUUUAUUUAGAAUGACAUGAUUUACCUCAUUUAGAAUGACUUCUAUUUCUCAUGUGUUAAUAAAUGUAUUUCUUUAUAUUGCUUUAAAACACUUGCAUCUUUGCUCUUUUCUAACUCUGAACUUUCCUCUGUGGCUGCAUCUGAGGUGCUUUCUUCAGGUGAUGAAACUUACCAGGAUAUUUUUCGUGAUUUCUCCCAAAUGGCAUCCAAUAAUCCAGAGAAACUAAAUCGUUUCCAGCA